rnacentral:lncRNA from 1 species
AUUAGCUCAUUCUCGAGCUUGGCUUCUUCUCGUUCGAGAUUGUUUUGGGAAUCGAGGUCUUCUUCGUCAUCGGUGUCGUCGGAUUUGAAGAGGAGGUCGUCUAGGGAUUGGGAGAGGAAAGCGGAGCUUGGGGGACGGAUUUGGAGGCGGCCGAGUAGGGUUUGGAGUAGUAGGUUGUUGUUGUUGUUUCCGUUGAAGGAGCUCAUGGUUGGUGCGUGUGGUGGCGAAUCGAUCUUCUUCUUCUUCGACUACUUUUUCGUCGUGGUUAUCGUAGGGAGAGGCCACUCGGGUUUUAGAGAUAGGAAAGGGUUUUUGUUCAACGAAGACUGCAAUUACGAAAAAUAUCAGUUUUAGUCUUUUAUUAGAUAUAAACGCCGUCAGACAGUAAUUUCAGAAAAAAAAUGUAAGGCUAAAAUGAUAUAUGUUGUUGACUUGUAGGCCGAAAUUUAUUUUUUUUUUAAUUUUUCAAAAGAUUAAAUAACCUAUAAAAUUACAUUAAAAUGUUAAAUAAUUAGUUUAUAAUUUUUUAUAAAAUAAUAUUAAAAUUAAAAUAAAAUAAGUAAUAUAUUUUUAUUUGUAUUAAUCGAUACAAAAUACUAAAUAAUUAAAUAAUAAAACUGAUUCAUUUUAAUUUGAAAUUGAAAAUACAAUAUUAACUGCAAUAAAUUAUAAUUCCUCACCAGCAAAUGUGAAUUAGAGGAAACAAAUACUUUUUUAAGUGUUAUUUAUGAUGAAUUAUGAUAUCAGGGAUAGUGUAUACUGUAUUUGCAAACUUUGAAGCAUAUAGAAAUAGAGUAUUUUGGUUGAAUUGGAACUAUCUUAAUUUAGAACAGAAGAAACUUAUUAAUUUUGUCUCGCUAAUUAGUUUAUUCGAUAAUUAGUUCACUAAGUUUCUAUGUAGAAAUUGGAGUAUUAUGUUAGUAAGAAGCAUAUUGAAGUAAAGUAUUUUUUUUGUCAUUUACGUAAAAUUCAGAAUCAUAUAGAAGCCAAAAAACAAUAAUCUACUAUGGAUUUAAGAAACGAAACACUUUCAACAAUUUAUCAAUAUGGGAAAAAUUACUCAAGAAUAAAAAUGAAGAACAAACAAAAUGGGUACAAUACCAACUUUCUUAGUUUCUUUGACAAUUUUUUCGGCAUCAUCUACCGGAUUCAACAAAAGGACAUACACAAAUACAUUCUUUUGAGAACCCUUAACAUAUAUAUAUAUGUAAGUAUUUAUACUUUUGUAUAUCACAUCUUUGAUGAAACUGUUCAUGAUCCCCAUCGCUUUACCCGAGAUUCCGAUAUCGGGAUGAACCUGCUUCAGGACCUUGAAGAUGUAGAUCUUGUACGUCUCCACGCUCUUCUUCGAUUUCUUCUUCUUCUUGUCGCUUCCUCCUUCCUUCGAGAUCUUCUUCUCCGCCUUUGGACGCUUCUCCGCCGGUGAUUUCUCGGCUGGCUUCUUCUCCGCCGGUUUCUUCUCUGCCGCCUUGGGUGCCAUUAUCGAUUGAUUGAGUUUGGUGAAGAGAGGGUAAAUUGUUUAAUGGAAAGAUGCGUCUGUGAUUGAAAUUAUUCGAGGAGCAGAUUUUCUUAUAUAGAAGCGUGUGCUCGCUCUUAUUGGUUAUCUGUGCGGCACGCGGAUUGCUGACGUGGCCUAGAUCUGAAGACUUUGAAUGAACGGACAAGAUCUCUCAUAGCUCUAUACUUCUUUCUUUAGUCAAGCUCAUGGGCUCUUCUAACAUCUUGAUGGGCUUCUGUUUUAUGACGACCCACGAACUUGCCCGGUCCAUUACUAAUGUGGUAACAUCUUCGAAUUAUACGUUUCGACACUAAUUACAUUUUAUUUGAGUGUCUUACCAUCUUCUCAUAUACCUUGUCAGAUUCGCAUUAUCGUCCUUGUAGCGGAAACUGAAAUUACAGUUCAGCGGCAGCAGUAUUGGAAAAUGAGUGAUUCAUCAAGACAAGAGCAUACAAAAACAAACAAGGGGAGAGCUCAAAGCUUUUGGGUUCAAUGACCAUAAUCAUGUGUAAUCUUUGCUCUGUUCACCAACAUGUAUUGUAAAUUUGGAGAAGAAACAACUUCAGGUGAUUUUCACCCAUGGGUUUACUGGUUUAAAUAGAACGGAACAGAAUCCGUAACGCGUUAUUCUUUUUUUGUCCUGAGUUGUCUGUCCACACAUAUCUGAAAUCUUCCCGAGCAAUGUGACCUCUCCCUGCCAAACCGCUCCUAGAAAUUAGGCCCUGCCAAUUCAACAAGAACCAUGUAAAUGGACUGAUCUGAUUCAAUCUUUUGCGAUAUCUAAACACAAACAAUAAAGGUGCAGUGAAAAUCUAAAGUGAAACAAGGUUAUAAAUUAACAGAUACUUUGAAAAAAUGGUGAUGAACUGCACUAUAGACUAGAUUAUCACACAGCAACUCUAAUGGUUACUUUCUUAGAACUUCCAUUAAGAAAUGUAAUAUACCUGGACAUCUAUGGCCAUCAUAUGAAGAUUUAUAAAACAAUGACAUCUAAGGUUCUUGGGCAUAGUACUAAAGAAAUUAUAGAUCAUCAAAUAUUGUUUUCUUGGCAAGAUAAUACCACCUGAGAACUGUAGCGAACUGUGUAAGAUAGCAAUAGACCAAGUCUCACUAUUCACAUUGUGAACUAAUUUGCGGAAGCAGCAGUAAAGCCAAGCGAAGUACAACAAUUAAUAAACGCAGCCUUUGAAAGAACAUAACCAGAUUGCAAUAAACGAAACAUGGAUUUUGAUCAUACAUGGCAGGCAUACAAUGUCAAGAAAACUUGCAAAGAUUCUAACAUUAUAUGAAAAGAAUUAAUUGAUCAUAUAUAACACCGGUGUGUCCUGACCAUGACCAUAUUCGAGUCACAUAGGCAACAAAACACUUGGCAAGUCUGCAACUACAUUGAAGAAACAGCAUGUGCACUGUUGGAAAUGAUCAAACGCUCAGAAAGCUACAGGCUUUUGACCUUGAGUAAAUUUGAUUUCAAAACAGCAUUAAAGGCAGGUAGCUAACCAAGCAUGUAUCCGUUUUAUGACUAACUAAACAAUCAUCCCAAACAUAUGAGCCUUGUUCUAUCUCUCGCUAAACUCAUCCUCUAUACAUGACCCAAAACUUUAAUCAGACAUUCUACAGAAUCCAAGUAACAUUACAAAGUACGGUCAACAACAUUCAAUGGGGAGGUCAUAAAAAAACCAACCUUGAGGAACCAAUGUUGAUGUUCCUGUGAAGAACCCUACCACGAUCACCAUCUCCACCAUCAAUCAACUCUCUCAAACCACCCAAACUCUCCACCUCCUCCUCCUCCUCUUUCACCUCCUUCUUCUCCUUACCUCCACCGCGACUCGGCAGCAACUUCACAGGCAACCUCUCGAAGUAAUUCCCGUAGAUAUACUCAGGAGUGUACCCAUUCUCCUCAUCGAAAAGCAUGAUAUGCCCGUGCCACUCCCACACACGAUAAUCCGACUCCUCAUCCUCGUGAAACCCAACGCAGAUGUGGUGCUCGUUGACCGUCACGGCCUGCCCCGAAUUGGGCUUCAGGGAAUCGAUUCGACCCGAGACGAUGACGCGGAUUAGCUCAUUCUCGAGCUUGGCUUCUUCUCGUUCGAGAUUGUUUUGGGAAUCGAGGUCUUCUUCGUCAUCGGUGUCGUCGGAUUUGAAGAGGAGGUCGUCUAGGGAUUGGGAGAGGAAAGCGGAGCUUGGGGGACGGAUUUGGAGGCGGCCGAGUAGGGUUUGGAGUAGUAGGUUGUUGUUGUUGUUUCCGUUGAAGGAGCUCAUGGUUGGUGCGUGUGGUGGCGAAUCGAUCUUCUUCUUCUUCGACUACUUUUUCGUCGUGGUUAUCGUAGGGAGAGGCCACUCGGGUUUUAGAGAUAGGAAAGGGUUUUUGUUCAACG